GGGAGGAGCUGGCAGCUACCUCAGGGUGAGCACAAGCUGUGGUGUGCAUUAAGAGCCAGGGGUGGUGUUCUGCUGACAGGCACGGCCUUUGUCCAGCGCUUGCAUGAGUGAGGAGAACCAAAAGCUUUGACUUUAUGAAAGAAAAGUGAAUGAAAUCAAAUAAAGGCCAGUGAAAUGUGUGUGUGUGUGUGCAGGGAUGUGUAUCUGUAUGUGUACGCAGGGGUCUGUAUCUGUGUGCAGGUGUGUAUGUAGGGAUGUGUGUGUGUGUGUA
rnacentral:lncRNA from 1 species